GCCGAGAUGGUGGAAUUGGUAGACACAAGGGACUUAAAAUCCCUCGUCAGUUAAACGACGUGCCGGUUCGACUCCGGUUCUCGGCA
rnacentral:tRNA from 1 species